AUGGGAUGGAGCUGGAUCAUUGUCUUCCUGGUGACAGCAGCUACAGAUAGGGGUGUCCACUCCCAGGUCCAGCUGCAGCAGUCUGGGGCUGAGUUGAGGAGGCCUGGAUCCUCAGUGAAAAUGUCCUGCAAGGCUUCAGGCUACACCUUCACUGAUCAUUUUAUGCACUGGGUGAAGCAGAAGCCUGGACAGGGUCUGGAGUGGAUUGGAUGGAUUUAUCCUGGAGAUGGUGAUACAAAGUAUAAUCAGAAGUUCCAGGGCAAGGCCACGCUGACUGCAGACACAUCCUCCAGCAUAGCCUACAUGGAGCUCAGCAGCCUGACAUCUGAGGACUCUGCAGUCUAUUACAGUGAGAGAGACACAGUGUUGAUUCCACAUCCUGAGUGUGUCAGAAAACCUGGAGGAGCAGGAAGCUGCCCUGGGACUGAGAUAAUAGAGAAGAUCAGCCUGGAGACUUGCUCAGAAAUGAUCAUUCUAAGUGUGACUUGGACUGUCUCUUUCUCACAGUACUAUAGUGACUUUGUUCACUUUUCCAAAGCAAAGGAUGUCUGA